rnacentral:rRNA from 1 species
ACUGAACGCUGGCGGCAGGCUUAACACAUGCAAGUCGAGCGGAGAUGAGGUGCUUGCACCUUAUCUUAGCGGCGGACGGGUGAGUAAUGCUUAGGAAUCUGCCUAUUAGUGGGGGACAACAUUCCGAAAGGAAUGCUAAUACCGCAUACGUCCUACGGGAGAAAGCAGAGGAUCUUCGGACCUUGCGCUAAUAGAUGAGCCUAAGUCGGAUUAGCGAGUUGGUGGGGUAAAGGCCUACCAAGGCGACGAUCUGUAGCGGGUCUGAGAGGAUGAUCCGCCACACUGGGACUGAGACACGGCCCAGACUCCUACGGGAGGCAGCAGUGGGGAAUAUUGGACAAUGGGGGGAACCCUGAUCCAGCCAUGCCGCGUGUGUGAAGAAGGCCUUAUGGUUGUAAAGCACUUUAAGCGAGGAGGAGGCUACUGAGACUAAUACUCUUGGAUAGUGGACGUUACUCGCAGAAUAAGCACCGGCUAACUCUGUGCCAGCCGCCGCCGUAAUAC